GGUUGUGGCUCAGUGGUACAGCCCUUGCCUAGCAUGUGUGAGGCCCUGGGUUUGAGUCUCAGCACCA
rnacentral:tRNA from 1 species